UAUGGAAACAGUGAUGACCUGGACUGGGAUCCAAAGAGAAAAGACAUUUCAGGUGCCUCUCAAUGCAGGAAUAUGACUCUUAAAUUGAUUUCAAGUGACCAAAAUGUUGAGGUGUUCAGACAGAGACUUGCAGACAUAGUAUCAUAAUUUACAUUCAUAUAUGAGUAAUAGAUCUGCCCUGGGUGUUUACAGAUGCAUCUGAACACACAUUCUCAUCUAGGAAAGAGAAAGACCCGUCCUGUAAGGCAGUUCUUCUGGCUGUCCUUAGUAUCUCUCUGCUCGUGGCUCUGCUGGCUCUGUGUGUUCUGGGAAUUCUCUAUUCCCAUCUACUGAGGUCAUCUGAUUUGUUAAAAGAACAGAACAGAAAUGCUGCAGUCGACAUUGAAAUACAGGAGCAUAAUGCCACAGAACAACUGAACUGGAUGGAAAGUCGAGAUUAUUGUAUGAAAACUGGAGGUCAGCUGGUCAAACUAGCAGGCAAAGAUGAUCAGAUAAGUGUACAAUAUAUUUAUGUGUGUUUUUAGAUUUAAAAACAACUCUUGGUGAGUAAAAGGAGGUGCUUGACUUCCAGAAAAUGUUGAUAAUCAACAAUACGUUUUGUAUUUUUGGCCAACCCCAUAACCAAAAUAACUAUUAAAUUCACAUGGACACAAUUACAUAUCACAUCUCAUGAACUUGUCUUAUUAUGUCCUUUCCCAGUAUAAUUUGGCCUCAAUAAAGCUGAAAGAGCUGCAUUGGAUUGGACUACAUGAUUUGUACACUGAAGGACACUGGAUGUGGGUGGACAACACAAUUCUCUCAGGAGAAACGUAAGAGUUUGAGUUCAUUCACUUUAGCUGGCAUAAAUGCAUCUUUUCCGU
rnacentral:lncRNA from 1 species